rnacentral:lncRNA from 1 species
GGGUCCGACAAAUGCCAUUCCAAAUAAGCUUGUGGUAGCCACACGUCUCCAGUUGAUAUGCAAUUCUUUCUCUUCCUCCUGUGGAAAGCUAAAUUAGGGUUUCUCUUAACAGAACUAGCAUGCGUAACGGUCUGAGCUGCAAUAUCACCAAAUCCCCAAAUUAAACCGGAGCUGAUGACCUGAGUUUUGACCGGAUGAACAGAUAAACAGUUUUGAUACCAUCUCCAUAGCUUAAACAUUAUCACAACAUCCAAUUUUUGUAAAUUGACCUGAAACUUGAUGAAUUGUUUUUUCUAGGGUUUGGUUGAAGAAAACUUGUGGAACAAGCAAAUGUUGUGAGGUCGAGUGUUGCGCGUUUUU